AGACGGGGCGUGGCCGGCCGUAGGCGGAGCUAGCGCGGGUUGAAGUUGCGCAAGGAUCUAGUCCAGUCACUGGAGGGUAGCACCGGCACGUGUGUUCCCGUCAGUGUUUCCUGAGAAGGAAAAAAGUAGGAAACAAAACCUCAUUCUGUCACACAGGCUGGAAUGCAAUGGCAGGAUGGUGGCUGCCUUGACCUCUGGGACUCAGGUGAUCCUCCCACCUCAGCCACUCAAGUAGCUGGGACUACAGGAGAUCUAACACAGGACAGAGGCAGAGAGAAUCCCCAAGAUGAUGGAGGAAGAUCGCAGCAUGACAGCUGUGCUCCAGGGGACAGUUGUGAGGAUCGGAGCAGCGCAAUUCAAGAGACAGGCACGUUGAAUGCUGUUACCACCAAGAUGUUGAAUGCUAUUGCAUACUCUAUUUAACAGGUGAACAGAAAGUCCAGUGAAUCUAGUCAGAUUUUGAUGUGUGAUUACUUUGCCUUUUUUUUUUUUUUUUUGAGACGGAGUCUUCCUGUCACUCAGGCUG
rnacentral:lncRNA from 1 species